rnacentral:lncRNA from 1 species
UUUAAUGAUAAAAUUAAUUCAAAAUCAUUGUUCACAAAUAAAAACCAUAAACAUAUAUACAAUAACGUGAAGAAAUUAUUCUAAAAAAUGGACAAAGAAACUAACCCAAAAAUUGAAAAUUAUAACACACUCUUCUUCUCCAAAUGCCUAACAAUAAUAUUGCAAGAUUUUAUUAUUCUCUUCAACCAAAUAAGUGUUCAAGGAAAAUGGAAUGUAGUUUAUGAUUUCAUUAAGUAGAGAAAAAUGAUGAUGACGAAGAAAGGAAUUGCAUACCUUUACAGUCGAUUUUUGAAGAGCAAAUGGAAGGAAUAUAGAAUUUAAUUGGAGUCAAAUGGGAAUUAGGGCAGCAAUGUCUUUUUGAAUGUAAGGUCAUUUUAGUCAUUUAUAAAUUAUAUUUUUCAUUUUCCAUAUCUUUAGGCCUUCUCUCCAAAAAACUUAGUUUGUGGAUUUUUUAGACUAAUGUUUUGUUUGACUACGUUUUUUAAAUGAAAGCCCCGAGUUGAUACUCCAUUAUCUCGAGAUCUUUUGCCACCUGAAAUAGCAAUUUUAAAAGGAAUUGCAAUCUUCUGUAAUAUGCUUAAAAAAAAGUUAAAGUCAACCAUCCAACUUUUUAUUUAAUGUCAACUGAUAAUCUAAUUUGAUUUUGUUUUAUCAUGGUCACACAACUUUAUACUUAAUAUCACCAUGGUCAUCCAAUUUUAUUUUAUUUCAUUAUAACCGCCCAAUUUCAUAUAAAGUUUUUACCAGGACCAUGCAACUUCUUUUCAUCAUUUUCACUAAUUUUGAAAGGGAUAAAAUGGUAUCUUUUAUUUUUUUUUCUAAGUAACGUUUUUUAAUAUAACUUUUAUUUUAUUUUAAAAGCAUUUUUUUAGAUAAGUUUCUAUUUUAU